CUACAACCUGCUACAAUCUGAGAAGAGAAAGAAGAUUGUGGUGAUGACUGGUGAUUCCCAGCUUCUGGAUGGACUUGCUACGCAAACUUCCAGACCUAAUGUUGGCUGCCAAAGACGGCUUUGUCCUUUUUCCUCCCAGGUGCCUACAACACGGACAUGUAUGAUUAGAAUACACGUACCUAAAACGGGUAAGCCUGGGAAACCGGAAGGUAUUCACCUAAGGCAAAUACGAUCAUCUAUUCCGCAAGGCUUUAUUAAAAUUAAUAAAAAUAGAGGAAUUGUGGAGUCCCAAAAAUGUGAGCCUAUUUCCAUCCUGACAGAUGUUCAGGAUAUACAAACCUACCAUUGCUCCUUCUUUUGUAAUUGGAGGUUACCUGGGGAGUGGUUGCCUUCAGGAUACUUGGUCUAGUGUGGUUUCACUGCCUAAACAACAAAAUGCUAAUGACGUCAUGUCUCAACGUGUGUAAAGCAAUUAACUGUUUGAGUUGUCCUUUGUAUCAUGUUGUGGGUGGAUUUUGUUGUGUUGAGACAGGGUCUUUUUAUGUAGCCCUGGCUAUCCUGAAACUCACUCUGUAGACCAAGUUGCCCACAUAAAACCAUCUGCCUCUGCCAUCCGAGAGCUGGGAGUAAAGGUGUGCACCAACACA